rnacentral:misc_RNA from 1 species
AGGAAGAAGAAAGAAGGCAUCUCUCUAUUAAGCGUAUGAAUUAGAAUUACCCAGCAACGUACUUGAACAGAAAGAUCAAGUGUUAAUGGCAUCAAUAGUAGGAAGGAAAAAAAAGUAAAAUAAUAUGUUAAAACCUUUUAAAGAAAAUCUAAGCAAUCUAGAACCAAUGAGAAGUUCAUGAGAAAUGCAUGAGUCUAGGCACCAUUCCUGGUUCUAAGCCUGGUCCAAAUUAGUCAUUCAAAGGCUAACAUGAGCUUUGAU